rnacentral:rRNA from 1 species
AACGAACGCUGGCGGCAGGCCUAACACAUGCAAGUCGAGCGAGGACUUCGGUCCUAGCGGCGGACGGGUGAGUAACGCGUGGGAACGUGCCCUUUGCUUCGGAAUAGCCCUGGGAAACUGGGAGUAAUACCGGAUGAGCCCUUUGGGGGAAAGAUUUAUCGGCGAAGGAUCGGCCCGCGUUGGAUUAGGUAGUUGGUGGGGUAAUGGCCUACCAAGCCGACGAUCCAUAGCUGGUUUGAGAGGAUGAUCAGCCACACUGGGACUGAGACACGGCCCAGACUCCUCCGGGAGGCAGCAGUGGGGCAUCUUAGACAAUGGGGGAAACCCUGAUCUAGCCAUGCCGCGUGAGCGAUGAAGGCCUUAGGGUUGUAAAGCUCUUUCAGCUGGGAAGAUAAUGACGGUACCAGCAGAAGAAGCCCCGGCUAACUCCGUG